AUUGGAACAAGGUGAAGAUAUGCAAUUGUGAUGGUGCACCUUUUGCUAGUCUCCUAGAAAAUGAGGCUCAGGAUAAUACAGAUGUAUUAGCCUAUUGGUUGUCUAAUACAUCUACUUUAUUGAUGCUGCUACAACGCACCCUCAAAGCAAGUGGAGCUGCUAGCUUAACACCUCAGCGGCGGAGAACAGCGUCAUCUUCUCUGUUUGGAAGGAUGUCUCAAGGGCUAAGGGCAUCUCCUCAAAGUGCUGGAUUGCCUUUUAUAAAUGGAAGAAGUCUUAGUAGACUUGAUGGUUUAUGACAAGUAGAAGCAAAAUAUCCGGCACUUUCGUUUAAGCAACAGCUUACUGCCUUCCUUGAGAAGUUAUAUAGAAUGAUACGAGACAACCUGAAAAAGGAGAUAUCCCCAUUACUUGGACUGUGUAUAUAGGCUCCAAGGACCUCCCAUCAAGGUUUAGUAAAAGGACGCUCACAUGCUAAUGCGGUUGCUCAGCAAAGCUUUAAUAGCUCACUAGCAAAGUAUUGUGAAAAGCUUGAACAACUCGCUAAAGAUAAUGAAAACAAAC